UGCUAAGAGCCAGCCAUCUGCUAGUGAGGGCCCUGUUGCCCUGAUCAGGGUGGGCCCUUCAGUGGCAGAGUUAGGAUCAGGCCCAGUACUCCUGGUUGUCAAAAUGUGAGCAAAUGUUGGUGCCAGCUUUGACAGGUUUAUUCAAGCACUUGUGUCUGUCUGUGCUCCUCCUCUCCCAGCCGCUCCUUCCAGGGUCUGAACGCCAGGUGCAGGCUCUCCUGAGCAGGCAUGGCCCUGGGAAGCUGUACCAGGUGACAAGCAACAUCAGUGGGACUGGGACUCUGGACUUGACUCUGCCUCGGGGCCAAAUCGUGGCCAUCCUUCAAAACAAGGACACCAAAGGCAACAGUGGCCGCUGGCUGGUGGACACCGGGGGACAUCGUGGGUAUGUGCCGGCUGGGAAACUGCAGCUGUACCAUGUGGUCCCCAGUGCAGAGGAGCUCAGAAGGCAGGCGGGGCUGAACAAAGACCCCCGAUGUCUAACACCGGAGCCCAGCCCAGCUCCAGUGCCCUCUAUUCCCACCGUGAACCAGGUCAUAGCCGCGUACCCUUUUGUGGCCAGAAGCAGCCAUGAAGUGAGCCUGCAGG
rnacentral:sRNA from 1 species